rnacentral:lncRNA from 1 species
GAUAUAACAUAUGUGUUUUUACUUUUGUAUUCUGUAAUAACAUAUGAAAUUGUUUUACAAUAAUAUAUGUAUUUUUACUUUUGUAUGAAUUUUGUAAGCAUAAAAAUGGUAUGAAAUUUGUAUAUUGAUAUAACAUAUGUAUAAAAGUUAUUUGUACUUUUGUAUGAUAUAAUAUUGACACAAUAAUUUAUGAUGAAACAGAAAAAUAUGCAAUUCAAAAAGUGUCGGAGCAG